CAGAGUCAAGAACCAAUUAUCUUCUUUGUACACAUAAAGAUUUAGCAAAAUUAGGCAUAUCUAAUCUUAAUAUGACAUUAAUUGAAAACGUAAUUAUUCAGAAACCAACUAUUGGGAUAAGAACAAAUUAAUCUUUAACACGGAUGUGAAAACAGCAUGCACACAGAUUAACACACCCAUUAAUCUCUUCUGAAUUAGCACGUGACAGGAUGCUGAAAUUUUACCGCCUUUUUCGAAACGCUCCAUCUUUUCAAAAGUUGGAAUCACAACUAGAAUAGUCAGAAAGUGGUCAACACGUCAAAGAAAACAAGCAAACACAGAUUUAAAUACAACUUUAUCAACUAAAAUGAAACAGAGACAGAAAAGAGUAUUGCUCUUGUAAAAGGGUUAGAAAACAAUGUUAACAGAAAGAAGGGGAAAGGGAUUAAAUCCAAGUCAUGCAUUAAAGUUGUAAAGAAUGUGCAGAAAAUAGAUUCCCUUCCCAUAAAACACUUGGAAACGGAAGAGGAAGAGGCUCCGUAUGUAGUGGUCUUCCUUGACCAGGAGGGAAAUACCUUAUGUUCACACGUAAUUGGAGAUGGCAGGAAAAUAAUAGGACAAACAUUAAAUGUGUUGGACUCAUUACUGUUACUAAUUGCAGUUUAUUAUGUUUUUGAUUUGGAUUAUCCCGAAAUUUAUUCCCAGACACUGGGGAUUUUACAACAGUGGGCUAUUGGGGAUCAAUAUACCCAGCAAAAAUCAAGCAAUUGGAUAAAAUUCUCUGACGUGUUGUCAAGAAAUAAAAAUGAGUAAAAACUA